GGCGGGGUAGCUCAGCUGGUUAGAGCGCACGACUCAUAAUCGUGAGGUCGCGGGUUCGAGUCCCGCCCCCGCUACCA
rnacentral:tRNA from 1 species